AUCCAGCUGACGAGUCCCAAAUAGGAUGAAACGCGGAUCCUGAAU
rfam:Schistosoma margrebowiei strain Zambia genome assembly, scaffold: SMRZ_contig0000709